UAAAUCCUUCAAUAAUUAUCUUUCCAGUGCUGUUUGCUUGGAUUCUUGAGAAGCAAUGCAAAGAUGUCCUGUGAAAUGACUUUUCUUAUUUCUCUGGGCACAAUAUGAGACCAGCUCUGUGUAAUAAGUGGUCCCAGGAUGGGGUUCAUUUGCCCAGAUCAAGAAGAAAGGAGGGUCCCUGAAUUGACUACAUGUGUCAAGGUGACAAGAAGCAACACUACAGAACUUUGUGGUGUUUCGGCAGAUCUCAGCAAGGCUUACAAUGGGAGAAGCCAAGGUUUUGUAUUAUGCAACUUUCACUGCAUGCUCACCCAUUUUAAAUGAUUUCUUCAGCUCCCAUGGGUUCAGCUAUCAUCUCUAUGAAGAUAAUUCUUAGCUUUAUAUAUCCAGCCCUGCUCUCUCUUUUGAGCCGUAGUCCUCCAUCAUCAAUUACUUACUGGAUAUUUUUUUUAAAACAAAGUAUUUUUUAUCUAUAUAAACAAGUACUUUAAAAAAAGUCAAUAGUAUUUUAUUUUUCCAAAUAGAUAUAUAGUUUUCAACAUUCAUUUUUAUAAGACUUUGUUUUCCAAAUUUUUCUCCUUCCCUUCCUUCCCUUCACCAAGACAGCAAACAAUCUGAUAUACAUUAAAUAUGUACAAUUCUUUUAAACAUAUUUGUGUAUUUGUCAUAUUGUGCAAGAAAAAUCAUAUCAAAAGGGAAAAAAA